AAUUUGUUAGCACAUAAGGGGAAGACAGUACAAUCGCUAUUAUUUCAGUGUAAUUUGGUUAACUGGGAGGAGAUCGAAGAAAGAUUUUGCUGCUUUAAACCCUUAUCCUUAACUGCUUCUCUGGGUUUUUACAUGUUUGUAGAAGAGUGUGUUUCCUUGGUUAUUACAAUGUUACAUAAUCUUAUGUUCCUACAGUGUAAAUGGCUCAGAACACUGUGGAUGUAGACUGGAUCUCUUCUGUUUUGGCACUUGGUUUUGAACAAUAGUAUGAGGUGCGUGUUCGAUAGCAUUGUGGCUUCCAUUUGAUAAAAAAUGGUACUCACACUGCAAAACACAUGUUGGGUAUGAAGAUUAGUUUGUCAUUCAUGUGAAGUAUUGGUUUUCAGGCGAGACUCAGCUUAGUAGAGGGUGAUUGAAAUUGAGAUUUUACAUCCUGUAAGAAGUUUACUCAUGGAAUAAUGUAUGUAAUGUAAAAAAUAAAUCACUCAAUGAAACUACUGAACAUCUUGUUAUGGGAUCACAUGAGUUGUGAUGCCUUUUCUGGACCAAGGCACCAAGUAAUCAUGAGUCAGAUCAUCUUUGAACUGGGCUUUGAAUUUGAUCUCAACUAUGUAGCUCUGUGUUUCUUGUUGACAUAAUUGGACUACAGACAACAUAUAAAUACCCGGCAAAGUACUCAAAAGCAUCUUUGUGGUAGUUGAACAUACAAUCUACGCUAUUGCAGCUGUUAAAAACAGACAAACUGUUACUGUUUUGUAAGUGCAGUGUUUCAAUAGUCUGAUGCUUCAGAAUUGGUUAUAGUGGUGCACCCUAUUCAUUCCCAUGUUCCCCUGCUCCAUAUUAUAGCACUUGAACCUGAAACAAAUGUUCCCCAGCUCUGUAUCUGCUCAAAAAUGACAUGGGCUAUUGUUGGAACUCUUGAAAGAGGUUUUCUGUUCUCCAGCACUACUGUAUGGCUCUCAGUGUAAUAGGCCUCCUCUUGAAGGUAAAGGUGAAGAAACGUGGAUUGGAUGGUGAGUUGACAUCUGGCUCCUUUUAAUUGAAGUGUCUUUUAGCAAUGAACCAAACUUCAAGUAGCCCCAGAUGAUCACUCUAGCCAUUUUUACUUUCACCAGCUUGGAUGUGUCAAUGAGUGAAAAUGUGGGAUUGUCAAAAGCGUAGUUACUAGUUACUGAUUUGUACUUCAGAGUCUCCUGUUAAACUCAAAGAUAAUAUGAGUUGACUAUAAUCAGGAUGGGU
ensembl:lncRNA